rnacentral:misc_RNA from 1 species
GCUUUUGCACUCUCUCCGGUUGUGCGAGAGUGGGGCAGCCUUUUGCCUUGCUCUCCUACCAUCGUAGACGGUGUACUUGCACAAGUUGAAGCCGCCCGAGGUGUGGCGGCUUGGUCGGUACUCAACUUGGUGAAUGUAUGCUGACCUGUGUUUGACUGAUGACUGACUUGAUUGGACCCGACUUGAAGCAUUAGCCAACGGUCUAAUCCUGGGUCUAGUCACUGGAUACAGGUUAAGAGUUGGCUGUUGGCUUGGGACUGUACGUGUUUCAGGUCUAUGUUCGAGGCUAUGUUCAUAUCUAUGGCCAUAUCCGAGUUCAUGUCUAUUGUUCACGUUCAGUUAGGAGUUGGUUAGCCGGCUGAGUUUGGUACUACUCGAUAGGUAGUAGGCCAGGCUAUAGGCGACGGGCUAUCAGACAUGGGGUAUGGGGUUGCAGUUGACCGCAGCUUGCUUGUGGCUAACCGCCAGUGCGGUUUAUAGGGAGUUGAAACUGCUACUUAGU